AUUGAACGCUGGCGGCAGGCCUAACACAUGCAAGUCGAGCGAGCGGCGGACGGGUGAGUAAUGUCUGGGUAACUGCCCGAUAGAGGGGGAUUACUAUUGGAAACGGUGGCUAAUACCGCAUACUAUCAGAUGUUCCCAGUUGGGAUUAGCUAGUGGGGGAGGUAACGGCUCACCUAGGCGACGAUCCCUAGCUGGUCUGAGAGGCUGAUCAGCCACACUGGAACUGAGACACGGUCCAGACGCCUACGGGAGGCAGCAGUGGGGAAUAUUGCACAAUGGGCGAAAGCCUGAUGCAGCAAUGCCGCGUGUGUGAAGAAGGUCUUAGGGUUGUAAAGCACUUUUAGUAGGGAGGCGGUACCCACAGAAGAAGCACCGGCUAACUCCGUGCCAGCAGCCGCGGUAAUUC
rnacentral:rRNA from 1 species